UCAAGAUCCUUUCCUCGGGGGCCGAAUCCCUACAUGUUUUCCAAGUUUCCCUCGUUAAACACACCUGAUUCAAUUAAUCAGGCUCCUGCUGAAAGUGAGGACGAACUGGUCAUUUGAAUCAGACCAUUCCCUCGCAAGAGCCAA